rnacentral:ncRNA from 1 species
AAAGGUUCCGCAAGGAUGAAAAGGGAAGAAAGUGAGAAGCUUUCACGGUCCCGCCGCUGUAUGGGAAGAGCUGUAUCUUCAUAUGUCACUGGGAAACCGGGAAGACAGAGCACAGCAGAGACGCCCGAGUCAGAAGACCUGCCUUUGUAU